AUAACUUAAAUACAUGAUCAUAAAAUAAUUAAUUUAAAAUAAUUUACUUAUAAAAUAGCUGUUUAAUAAAAAUAAAAAUAAUAUUUAAUUUAAUACUUAUAACUACUAUAAUUAAUAUUAAUAAUAUUAGAACUUCACUUUUCUAUCUUUUAAUUCAGAAAUUGUUUGAUUGCUUCUAUAUAAUUUACUUUUUUGGCUAAAUCAUUUUCAAUUGAGUUUAUUAUCUGUCAUCGAGGAAUGCCAAAAGAUGUUCAGAAAAGGGUUAUUGUUCCAGAUUAUAUAGAAACCUCUCCAAUUGCUAAUGAUUUUCAAAAUUAUUAAAUAUUUCUUUUAUAGAACUGAUUGUAUCUAAAAGAGUGUAAACAAAUUAUCUUUUAAAACGUUCUUCAGCGCCAAUAAAAAAUCUUGAUUUUUAUUUUAUCAAAAAAAGUUUUUCUACAUCGUACUCGUGGUUCUAUUAUAAUUGGUUUUAUAUCUAGACUGCUAUUUCUUUUGAAAAAUUAGAUAUAACUGCAUAUCUUGUUUCUCAAUAGUGUAGAAACCAUUUCUAUAUCCAAUGUAAACCCUUGCGUAUAUUUACUUACGAUAUUAACUUGAAAUAAUAAAUCGUAGGUACAAAACAUUUAAUUAAAUCAAUAUUUUAAAGUCGAGUAAUUGAUUUGCUAAACUAUUCGCUUCAUUUCUUAUACCAACAUCUGCCACCUUGAUGAUUCCGCAACUUCAAUUAAUGUAUCGUACACUUCUUUGGUUUGAUAUCGACUUGCUGUCUAUGCGAACUUCCCAACGGGUUGUACACAAUGGCUUAACCGUCAAGUUUGGUAAAUGCGAUUUUAGUACCUACUUGCCAACGGUAAACAGAAGGCAAAAACAAAAUAAUUAUCCGUUGUAAAAUUUCAAAAAGAACGAUAGAUUAUUUGGAUUGUGAAGCAUCAGAUGUAACAAGAUUAAGAAAAUGAUAACCACAGGGCAUAAAUGCUGCUUUAAGGUUUAAAGCUAAAAUUCUGGCUUGAACUCUAUUUUUACUACCUUUCAUAUUUGCGUGAUUGUCGUAACCCUUAAUCACGAUAGUUCAUUAUAUCAAGUUUGUUUUCUUUUAGCGUUUUCGGCAAUAAAUCAGUAAGAUUUUCUUCAGUAGAUUCAUUAACUUUUCUAAAAUCAAUAAAAUGCUAAGUUACUUGUACAUUUUCAUUAUCUUCAUCCACAAAUCUGAUUGUAAAGGGCAUUUUUUCAUCAGGAGUACAAUCUAAUAACACAGAAAAACAUUUUGCGUUCUGUAUUUUUUGCUGAAUAAUUUUUAAAACUUUGGAAGCCAUUAGAUAUAUAAGUUCAUUUAGAAUGAACUUGUAAGUGGUGUGUUAUCAUACGCCGCUCAGUAAUGAAUUUAUUUAUAAAUAGGUAAAUCGUAAUAGUAAAUACGUAAAUAUUAUCAAAAAAUAAUCGGUGAACCACUCGCGACUUUUACACGCACAAAGGAGGUGGUAUAAUAACCACCUUUAUUAUUUUUAAAUUUAAACCAGCAUGUUUCUUCAGCUAAAGCUAUAUUGGAUAAUACAUAAUAUUUUAAAUUAUGUAAAUUAUUGAUGAUUUUAUUCGUUUAUGUGUAUCAAAAGAUAAAUUAAAUUGAAAUAAUAUCCAGUUUGUCGCCCCUUACGCACUGGCACCCUGAGCAGUCGCCCACAUCGCCCAUAGCUUUCGUCGGCCCUGUCUGGAAAGUAAAAACCUGGAAUGUACAAAUCUUGAAAAUAAUUUUUCUAUUAAUCCAGUGUAACUAACUUUUGGGCCAAAACAUCUACGUCCGUGACCAAAACUCAAAAGCAGUUAUUUAAAAAAUAAUAAACAAAAACAACAUAUUAAUCCUACCUUAAUUUACACUAGAAUAGGUAUUAGGUUUUAUUGUUACGACUGGGACAUUAAUUUAAUACAAUUUCUCAAGUUUAUUAAUACAGACUUAGAAAUAUAAAAUACCCAAAAUAACAUUUACAUUAAUUCAGUUUUAGAAGAAUUACACAUAAAUACACGAUGAAAUAAAGAAAAAAAAUUUGAAUGUUUUAAAUGUUCAAACCGAUUUUAAGAAUAAUAUCUUAUAUUAAUACAUUUUAGAUAAUAAAUAACAAACAAACAAUUAAUAUUUCUUAACAUAUCUAUGUCUAAUAAUAACUCAUUUUAAAUAAUCUAUCCUAUUAAAAUAAAUUAUUUAUAUGUAAAACGACCAAUUUGUACAAUUUUUUUGCUAUGUAUUCCUUCAUUUAUUUUUUUAUAUUCAGUGGCGUUUUACUUUUUGACCUUGUGAUUUUACCUGAUGAUGAAUUGUUAAUUCGAAACCGAUCGUACAAUACAUAUUUCAUAAUACUCCAGGCGACGCAUUAAUUAAUUAAUUAAUUAUUUUAUUUAUUUAUAUAAUUAUUGGGUAUAAAUUUUCAAAAUUGUAUAUAGAAAUUUAGAUUUUAGAUUCUGAGUGGAGCUAUGAAGCUAAUGGUUUUACAAAGAUGUUUAUUUUUGGUACACUAUAUUCCAUAAGACUUUAACCUGCUCUGCGUGGUUAAGUUCACAAUUUCAUCGGCAAGUACCUUUUAUUAAAUACAAUAAAUAAAAUUAAUCUAAUUUACAUUAUUAUUGCCAAAAAUAGAAAUUUAAAGUGCUUAUAAAUUGAAUUUAUAUAAUG